rnacentral:pre_miRNA from 1 species
UUGUUCCUUUUUCCUAUGCAUAUACUUCUUUGAGAAUUCGAUCUAAAGAGGUAUAGUGCAUGGGAAAAUGGGGCGA